GACGAACGCUGGCGGCGUGCCUAAUACAUGCAAGUGGGACGCAAGGAAACACACUGUGCUUGCACACCGUGUUUUCUUGAGUCGCGAACGGGUGAGUAACGCGUAGGUAACCUGCCUAUUAGCGGGGGAUAACUAUUGGAAACGAUAGCUAAUACCGCAUAAUAUUAAUUAUUGCAUGAUAAUUGAUUGAAAGAUGCAAGCGCAUCACUAGUAGAUGGACCUGCGUUGUAUUAGCUAGUUGGUAAGGUAAGAGCUUACCAAGGUGACGAUACAUAGCCGACCUGAGAGGGUGAUCGGCCACACUGGGACUGGGACACGGCCCAGACUCCUACGGGAGGCAGCAGUAGGGAACCUUCGGCAAUGGACGAAAGUCUGACCGAGCAACGCCGCGUGAGUGAAGAAGGUUGUCGGAUCGUAAAGCUCUGUUGUAAGUCAAGAACGUGUGUGAGAGUGGAAAGUUCACACAGUGACGGUAGCUUACCAGAAAGGGACGGCUAACUACGUG
rnacentral:rRNA from 1 species